rnacentral:lncRNA from 1 species
GGCUUGCCAGGAGCUGGAGGGGGAGGUAGGCGGGGCGGCGCGUGACCUAAGGCCUCUCUGCCGCGCGCGCAGGUACGGGGCAGAAGUCGCAGGUACCCAGCUGCUGCCCACAUUUCUGGUCCAGAGUCCCGAACCCCGAGCACUGGGAUGCCUGGCUACUCCGAGCGUUAUCCAGACUAGCGAGUGGGAGGCAGAUGUAAAAUCUGGAACGCAGAUUUUAGUUUGUUGGAAGGAGAAAUGUAACAUAGUGAACCACGCAUCUCUGGAGGGUGUAAAGCAGAGACAGCCAAGAGCCAAGGCACUGAUGUUUGAACUGGAAACUUCAAAACGUUUAAUAAGAGUCUUCAGGAUGGGUUUGAACUAGACAAGCUAGAAAUUUCUUUAGAACACCAGCUCUAGCAUGCAUCUCCCACUUUUGGCUUUCCUGGAGAGGAGCUUGAAGAGGUGGUUCUGCAGACAGCCACAGUGAUACUUAGGAAACCAGAGGAAUGGAUUUGACUUUUCUGCUAGGAUUCUCUGUUAUAGUUUCUCCCUGAGUUGUAAGAGGCAUGGAAAUAUACAUGAAACUGAAGAACCUGCAAGGAAGGGAAGUGGAACUUUCCAUGCUGAGUGAAAACUAACCAAGUGGCAGUUGUGACUGAAAACACUGAAACCUACCACGUCCAGAUUCACUGGAUUGGGGGAUAGAGGAACGGUC